rnacentral:lncRNA from 1 species
CACGACUUUCAGUUCUUCAAUACACAGAGACUGAGUGAGUUGUAUGAGAAGGAAGUGCACUAUCUUAUGCAGACACACCAGAAGAAUCAGGUUAAAGACACUAUAGAGGUGGAAGAAUCUGAAGAUGCAGGAGAGCCUUUAACAGCUGAAGAGCAGGAAGAAAAGGAGCAACUGCUGGAAGAGGGAUUUUCAAUGUGGAGUAGAAGAGACUUCAAUACUUUUAUCAGGGCUUGUGAGAAGUAUGGUCGCAAUGACUUUUUUUUUUAUUUGCACCGGGUGUCCGAGUCUCUUAGAGCCCCGACUAAUCCCGGGGGUGCACAGGCCCUCGGCAAGGAGUUUCCCGCAAGUGCACCACGCGUAUGGUCGCAAUGACUUUUUUUUUUAUUUGCACCGGGUGUCCGAGUCUCUUAGAGCCCCGACUAAUCCCGGGGGUGCACAGGCCCUCGGCAAGGAGUUUCCCGCAAGUGCACCACGCGUAUGGUCGCAAUGACUUAAAAAGUAUUGCUGCUGAAAUGGAAGGGAAAACAGAGGAGGA